UAUCGGAACGUGCCCUGGAGUGGGGGAGUAACUAGUCGAAAGACUAGCUAAUACCGCAUACGAUCUACGGAUGAAAGUGGGGGAUCGCAAGACCUCAUGCUCGUGGAGCGGCCGAUAUCUGAUUAGCUAGUUGGUGGGGUAAAGGCCUACCAAGGCAUCGAUCAGUAGCUGGUCUGAGAGGACGACCAGCCACACUGGGACUGAGACACGGCCCAG
rnacentral:rRNA from 1 species